AUUGAACGCUGGCGGUAUGCUUAACACAUGCAAGUCGGACGGAAACGAUAGGAGCUUGCUCCUAGGCGUCGAGUGGCGGACGGGUGAGUAACGCGUAGGAAUCUGCCUAAUAGUGGGGAAUAGCCCGAGGAAACUCGGAUUAAUACCGCAUAUGUUCUACGGAACAAAGGGAGCCUCUUCUUGAAAGCUCUCGCUACCAGAUGAACCUGCGCCGGAUUAGCUUGUUGGUGGGGUAAAAGCCCACCAAGGCGACGAUCCGUAGCUGGUCUUAGAGGAUGAUCGGCCACACUGGGACUGAGACACGGCCCAGACUCCUACGGGAGGCAGCA
rnacentral:rRNA from 1 species